UGGGGAAUAUUGCACAAUGGGGGAAACCCUGAUGCAGCGACGCCGCGUGAACGAAGAAGGUAUUCGUAUCGUAAAGUUCUGUCCUAUGGGAAGAUAAUGACAGUACCAUAUAAGAAAGCUCCGGCUAAAUACGUGCCAGCAGCCGCGGUAAUACGUAUGGAGCGAGCGUUGUCCGGAAUUAUUGGGCGUAAAGGGUACGCAGGCGGUUUAAUAAGUCGAAUGUUAAAGAUCGGGGCUCAACCCCGUAAAGCAUUGGAAACUGAUAAACUUGAGUAGUGGAGAGGAAAGUGGAAUUCCUAGUGUAGUGGUGAAAUACGUAGAUAUUAGGAGGAAUACCAGUAGCGAAGGCGACUUUCUGGACACAAACUGACGCUGAGGUACGAAAGCGUGGGGAGCAAACAGG
rnacentral:rRNA from 1 species